rnacentral:rRNA from 1 species
CCAAACGACUCUCGGCAAUGGAUAUCUUGGUUCUCGCAUCGAUGAAGAACGUAGCGAAAUGCGAUACUUGGUGUGAAUUGCAGAAUCCUGUGAACCAUUGAGUUUUUGAACGCAAGUUGCGUCUGAAGCCGUCAGGCCAAGGACACGUCUGCCUGGGCAUCACAC